AUUCAGACAUGUAAUCUUUUUUAAUUACACUGGUGAAUCUUAAAAAGCGUGCUUUAAAACGUGUCACUGGAUUUUUUUUCCUUCUCUAUUAUUACUCUAAUAAGGCAUUUUGCUAAUGCUAAAUCUUUAUGAAUUUUCAGCAUAUUGUGGGUAAAUAAUAUUUUUUUACUUACCAUAUUUUACUAGUAUUAUGCCAAGUCAGUUUGCAUGCAUUCUUUUCAGUAGUUCUUGAAUAAAUAAAUGUAUUUAUAAAUAUCUUUAGAAAGUUAACACAUUCGUUAUGCUUAAUAUAAUUCUUCUACUUUUAACAUGUUCUUACAAAGGACAAGAAUCCUCACCCAUAAUUUGCUGAUUCUGCUUUGUAAACAUUGGUUUCAAAUCAACUCUGCUUCAUUUCAUCAGACUUCUUCUAAAUAGCUAAUCAACCAGAAUCUUACCUUUGUAACCCUUGGCUUUCUACAAUGUCACUUGUAUUAACCAGCUAUAUGGAUUUUUGAGAAACUUAUUUCUUUUUGGAAUCAGAUGAUAUAUAUGAUAAAAUUCAAAUAAUUUUCUUUAAAGCUCCUGAAACAAGGAAGAAAGUUGUGACAGCAAAACCUGUUGAGGCUCCACAAUUGGAACCCCCACCUGCUAAAGUUCCUGGACUUGUAAAGAAACCUCGUAGAAUAAUUCCUGAAGUUACUCCUCCACCGAAAGAAGAAGUUGUUUUGAAAAGAGGUACAGUAACAAUAUAAAACAGUAUAAAACCCCAGCAUACUAACAUUGUUCAGUGUGUUCUCCUAAGUAAUGUUGCUUUAUGUGGUGUAGAAAAUUACAUGAAUAGUGUACUACCUGAUGGGUGUGUAUCGUGGAAAGAGUUUAUAACUGAAGAGAUAAAGCAAGGGCAUAUCAAAAAUUAGUUAAGUCCAAAGGAAC
rnacentral:lncRNA from 1 species